CUGUAUGUACCCUGUAGAUCCGAAUUUGUGUGAUAACAGCAAUUUCACAAAUUCGUGUCUGGGGGAAUAUGCAGU